rnacentral:rRNA from 1 species
CGCUGGCGGCGUGCCUAACACAUGCAAGUCGAGCGGAGCCAACCGAUAGAUCCCUUCGGGGUGACAUCGGGGAAGCUUAGCGGCGGACGGGUGAGUAACGCGUGAGUAACCUGCCCAUAAGAGGGGAAUAACACAGCGAAAGUUGUGCUAAUACCGCAUAAUAUGAUUUUACCGCAUGGUAGAAACAUCAAAGAUUUAUUGCCUAAGGAUGGACUCGCGUCUGAUUAGAUAGUUGGUGAGGUAACGGCUCACCAAGUCGACGAUCAGUAGCCGGACUGAGAGGUUGACCGGCCACAUUGGGACUGAGAUACGGCCCAGACUCCUACGGGAGGCAGCAGUGGGGAAUAUUGGGCAAUGGACGCAAGUCUGACCCAGCAACGCCGCGUGAAGGAAGAAGGCUUUCGGGUUGUAAACUUCUUUUAGUAGGGACGAAGAACGUGACGGUACCUACAGAAAAAGCAACGGCUAACUACGUG